AACGAACGCUGGCGGCAUGCCUAACACAUGCAAGUCGAACGAUACCUUCGGGGCUAGUGGCGCACGGGUGCGUAACGCGUGGGAACCUGCCCUUAGGUUCGGAAUAACUCCCCGAAAGGGGUGCUAAUACCGGAUAAUGUCUUCGGACCUAAGAGUUAUCGCCUUUGGAUGGGCCCGCGUUGGAUUAGCUAGUUGGUAGGGUAAAGGCCUAUCAAGGCUACGAGCCAUAGCUGGACUGAGAGGAUGAUCAGCCACACGGGGACUGAGACACGGCCCAGACGCGUACGGGAGGCAGCAGUAGGGAAUCUUCGGCAAUGGACGGAAGGCUGACCGAGCAACGCCGCGGGAGUGAAGAAGGUUUUCGGAUCGUAAAGCUCUGUUGUAAGAGAAGAACGAGUGUGAGCGUGGAAAGCUCACACUGUGACGGUAUCUUACCAGAAAGGGGCGGCUAACUACGGG
rnacentral:rRNA from 1 species